CAGCCGCCGCGGGAAUACGUAGGUGGCAAGCGUUGUCCGGAAUUAUUGGGCGCAAAGGGCUCGCAGGCGGUUUCUUAAGUCUGAUGUGAAAGCCCCCGGCUCAACCGGGGAGGGUCAUUGGAAACUGGGAGACUUGAGUGCAGAAGAGGAGAGUGGAAUUCCACGUGUAGCGGUGAAAUGCGUAGAGAUGUGGAGGAACACCAGUGGCGAAGGCGACUCUCUGGUCUGUAACUGACGCUGAGGAGCGAAAGCGUGGGGAGCGAACAGGAUUAGAUACCCCCGUAGUCCCUGUCUCUUAUAC
rnacentral:rRNA from 1 species